rnacentral:rRNA from 1 species
GACGAACGCUGGCGGCGUGCUUAACACAUGCAAGUCGAGCGGUAAGGCCCUUUCGGGGGUACACGAGCGGCGAACGGGUGAGUAACACGUGGGUGACCUGCCCUCAGCUCUGGGAUAAGCCUGGGAAACUGGGUCUAAUACUGGAUAUGACUCCACGGUGCAUGUCGUGGGGUGGAAAGCCUUGUGCGGCUGAGGAUGGGCCCGCGGCCUAUCAGCUUGUUGGUGGGGUGAUGGCCUACCAAGGCGACGACGGGUAGCCGGCCUGAGAGGGCGACCGGCCACACUGGGACUGAGACACGGCCCAGACUCCUACGGGAGGGCAGCAGUGGGGAAUCUUGCGCAAUGGGCGAAAGCCUGACGCAGCGACGCCGCGUGAGGGAUGACGGCCU